UACGUAGGGUGCGAGCGUUAAUCGGAAUUACUGGGCGUAAAGCGUGCGCAGGCGGUUUUGUAAGCCAGAUGUGAAAGCCCCGGGCUCAACCUGGGAAUGGCAUUUGGGACUGCAAGGCUGGAGUUUGGCAGAGGAGACUGGAAUUCCUGGUGUAGCAGUGAAAUGCGUAGAUAUCAAGAGGAACACCUGAGGUGAAGACGGGUUGCUGGGCCGACACUGACGCUGAGUGCGCGAAAGCCAGGGGAGCAAACGGG
rnacentral:rRNA from 1 species